rnacentral:rRNA from 1 species
AUCGCAUCCUGGGGCGGUAGUACGUCCCAAGGGUUGGGCUGUUCGCCCAUGAAAGCGGUACGCGAGCUGGGUUCAGAACGUCGUGAGACAGUUCGGUCCAUAUCCGGUGUAGGCGUUAGAAUAUUGAGAGGAGCCUUCUUUAGUACGAGAGGACCGAGAAGGACAUACCUCUGGUGUACCAGUUAUCGUGCCAACGGUAAACGCUGGGUAGCUAUGUAUGGAGUGGAUAACCGCUGAAAGCAUCUAAGUGGGAAGCCCACCUCAAGAUGAGUAUUCUCAUCACGUAAGUGAGUAAGGUCACGGUAAGACUAACCGUUUGAUAGGCAUUAAGUAUAAGUGCAGUAAUGUAUGUAG